rnacentral:rRNA from 1 species
CAGUAGCCGCGGGAAUACGUAGGUGGCAAGCGUUGUCCGGAAUUAUUGGGCGCAAAGGGCUCGCAGGCGGUUUCUUAAGUCUGAUGCGAAAGCCCCCGGCUCAACCGGGGAGGGUCAUUGGAAACUGGGAAACUUGAGUGCAGAAGAGGAGAGUGGAAUUCCACGUGUAGCGGUGAAAUGCGUAGAGAUGUGGAGGAACACCAGUGGCGAAGGCGACUCUCUGGUCUGUAACUGACGCUGAGGAGCGAAAGCGUGGGGAGCGAACAGGAUUAGAUACCCCAGUAGUCCCUGUCUCUUAUAA